rnacentral:rRNA from 1 species
UAAAUUGUAAAUUAGUUUAAUGAGUAGUAAAAGUUAUGUUCUCUAAACUUAAAAAUUUUGGCGGUGUUUUAGUCUAUUCAGAGGAAUCUGUUCUUUAAUCGAUAAUCCGCGAUGGAUCUAACUUGAACUUGUGAUCAGCUUAUAUACCGUCGUUAUAAGAGUUUUUUAUGAGAAUAAUAAUUUUCUAGAAAUAUAAUUUUAUUUUAUAUCAGAUAAAGGUGUAGUUUAUGUUUUAGUGGAAAUGGAUUACAAUAAGCUUAUUUAAAUGGAUUAUUAAUGAAAUAUUAUUAUGAAAGUGGAUUUGAUAGUAAACUUUAUUUAGGAUAUAAGGUUGAUUUUGGCUCUAAGAUGUGU